AACGAACGCUGGCGGCAUGCCUUACACAUGCAAGUCGAACGGCAGCACGGGAGCAAUCCUGGUGGCGAGUGGCGAACGGGUGAGUAAUAUAUCGGAACGUGCCCAGUUGUGGGGAUAACGUAGCGAAAGCUACGCUAAUACCGCAUACGAUCUAUGGAUGAAAGCGGGGGAUCGCAAGACCUCGCGCGAUUGGAGCGGCCGAUAUCAGAUUAGGUAGUUGGUGAGGUAAAGGCUCACCAAGCCGACGAUCUGUAGCUGGUCUGAGAGGACGACCAGCCACACUGGGACUGAGACACGGCCCAGACUCCUACGGGAGGCAGCAGUGGGGAAUAUUGGACAAUGGGCGAAAGCCUGAUCCAGCAAUGCCGCGUGAGUGAUGAA
rnacentral:rRNA from 1 species